rnacentral:rRNA from 1 species
UACGUAGGGUCCGAGCGUUGUCCGGAAUUAUUGGGCGUAAAGGGCUCGUAGGCGGUUUGUCGCGUCGGGCGUGAAAACACCGGGCUUAACUCGGUGCUUGCUUUCGAUACGGGCAGACUAGAGGCAUGCAGGGGAGAACGGAAUUCCUGGUGUAGCGGUGAAAUGCGCAGAUAUCAGGAGGAACACCGGUGGCGAAGGCGGUUCUCUGGGCAUGUCCUGACGCUGAGGAGCGAAAGCCAGGGGAGCAAACGGG